rfam:Gossypium hirsutum cultivar TM-1 unplaced genomic scaffold scaffold26.1, whole genome shotgun sequence
CGUUAAAAAUUGCAUCCAAUUGUACUGUUAAAAACUAAAGUGGUUGACGGAAUAACCCAACAAUAAUACAUGAUGUGUCAUAUUUAUCUCAUGCUAUCAUACAGAAUAUAAUUUUUUGCAAUAAAAAUGGGUUAAAAUUUUAAUU